AUUGAACGCUGGCGGCAUGCUUUACACAUGCAAGUCGAACGGUAACAGGUCUUCGGAUGCUGACGAGUGGCGAACGGGUGAGUAAUACAUCGGAACGUGCCUAGUAGUGGGGGAUAACUACUCGAAAGAGUAGCUAAUACCGCAUGAGGUCUACGGAUGAAAGCAGGGGACCUUCGGGCCUUGUGCUACUAGAGCGGCUGAUGGCAGAUUAGGUAGUUGGUGGGGUAAAGGCUUACCAAGCCUGCGAUCUGUAGCUGGUCUGAGAGGACGACCAGCCACACUGGGACUGAGACACGGUCCAGACUCCUACGGGAGGCAGCAGUGGGGAAUUUUGGACAAUGGGCGAAAGCCUGAUCCAGCCAUGCCGCGUGCAUGAAGAAGGCCCUCGGGUUGUAAACUGCUUUUGUACGGAACGAAAAGCCUGGGGCUAAUAUCCCCGUGUCAUGACGGUACCGUAAGAAUAAGCACCGGCUAACUACGUG
rnacentral:rRNA from 1 species